rnacentral:ncRNA from 1 species
AAGACAAAAGGAAAUGGUGUUCUUCCUUACCCAACCGCUUUUUAAGAGCUGAUGACGCCUGAUUAAAC